rnacentral:rRNA from 1 species
UACGGAAGGCAGCAGUGGGGAAUAUUGCACAAUGGGCGAAAGCCUGAUGCAGCUAUGCCGCGUGUAUGAAGAAGGCCUUAGGGUUGUAAAGUACUUUCAUCGGGGAGGAAAAAACAAAACUAAUAAUUUUAUUUCUUGACGUUACCCGAAAAAGAAGCACCGGCUAACUCCGUGCCAGCAGCCGCGGUAAUACGGAGGGUGCUAGCGUUAAUCAGAAUUACUGGGCGUAAAGAGCACGUAGGUGGUUUUUUUAAAGUCAGAUGUGAAUCCCUGGGCUUAACCUAGGAACUGCAUUUUGAAACUGAAAUACUAGAGUAUCGUAGAGGGAGGUAGAAUUCUAGGUGUAGCGGUGAAAUGCGUAGAUAUCUGGAGGAAUACCUGUGGCGAAAGCGGCCUCCUAAACGAAUACUGACACUGAGGUGCGAAAGCGUGGGGAGCAAACAGGAUUAGAUACC